rnacentral:misc_RNA from 1 species
UUGACACCAAGAUUGCUUGUGAAUAAUGGCAUAUGAUCAAACAGGUAUGGAGUCUCUUAUUGUGCAUCUAAAGCUCCUAGAAUUAAAUAGGGACAUGGGUGAAUCUGGGUCCGAACUGGCAGUUUUGGUCCGUGGAGGGGAGGCUAGACUAUAGAGGGUCGGUUUUGGUUUUGGUUCUGGUUCCUAAUUGAUCCAGGUUGAGUCAUUCCAACAGUUGAUUUCUUUUCUUUUUUUUUGUAAAAAGGCUGGUUUGAACUAGACCUCUGAUUUCAACUAGGGAUAGCAAAGAAUUGGAUACUUGACCCGAUUUGACUUUAAUCGGACUAGUUCAAGUUGUGUAUUAUUUGGUUUGGAAUGGGUUCUAGUUUGAUAAUUAGUAUGUGAUAAGUUCAGAUUUUAUAUAUUGAAUCAG